ensembl:lncRNA
GUGGGGACAAUGGGGAUGAUGGACAUAGGGACGAUGGGGACAAUGGACGUGGGGAUGAGGUGAUGGGGACGAUGGACGUGGGGACGGUGGGGAUAAUGGACGUGGGGAUGGUGGGGUUGAUGGAUGUGGGGAUGACGGUGACAGUGGAUGUGGGGAUGAGGUGAUGGGGACGAUGGACGUGGGGUUGGUGGGAACAACGUAGGUGGAGGUGAUGGAGAUAGAGAUGAGGAUGAGGAUGAAGGGGAUGGAGAUGAUGAGGAUGGUGGGGUGGAGAUGAGAUGAGGAUGAUGUGGAUGAUGGGGAUGGAGAUGAUGAAGAUGAGGAUGGCGGGGAUGGAGAUGAUGAGGAUGAUGAGUCUGAUGGGGAGGGAAAUGAUGGAGAUGGGGACAAUAGGGAUGGAGAUGAAGAUGAUGAUGAGGACAGUGGGGUUGGAGGUGAUUAAGAUGAUGGGGAGGGGGAUGGAGGUGAUGAAGUUGAUGAAAACGAUGGGGAUGGAGAUGAUGGAGAUUAUGAGGAUGGAGAUGAAGAUGGUGAGGAUGAUGGGGAGGGGGAUGGAGGUGAUGGAGAUGAUGAAAACAGUGGGGCUGGAAAUGAUGGAGAUGGGGACAAGGGGGAUGGAGAUGAUGGAGAUGAUGGAGGGGGGAUAGAGAUGAGAUAAAGAUGAUGUGGGCAGUAGGGAUGGAGAUGAUGAUGAGGUCAGUGGGGAUGGAGAUGAUGAAGAUGGGGACAAGUGGGGGCAAUGGAGGUGGAGGUGAUGACGAUGGGGACAACGGGGAUGGAGAUGAUGGAGAUGAUGAGAAUGGAGAUGAUGAUGGGGAUGGAGAUGAUGAGGACAGUGAGGGCAGUGGAGGUGGAGGUGAUGAAGAUGAUGAGGACAACGGGGAUGGAAAUGAUGGAGAUGGGGACCAUGGGGGUGGAGGUGAUGAGGAUGACGGGGAGGGGAUGGAGAUGACGGAGGUUGAUGAGAAUGGAGGUGAUGAUGAGGACGAUGGGGAUGGAGGUGAUGAAGAUGGGGACCAUGGGGGUGGUGGAGGUGGAGGUGAUGAGGACGAUGGGGACAGUGGGGAUGGGCAUGGAGAUAACGAAGACGAUGAGGACGAUGAUGAGGACAGUGAUGAGGAUGGAGAUAACAAAGAUGACGAGGAUGAUGAUGGGGACAGUGGGGGUGGGGAUGGAGAUAACGAUGAUGAGGACGAUGAUGGGGAUGGCUGGGAUGGAGAUAACGAAGACAGUGAGGAUGAUGAUGGGGACAGCGGGAUGGAGAUAACGGAGACGAUGAGGACUGGGGAUGGAGAUAACGAAGAUGAUGAGGACAAUGAUGGGGACAGUGGGGAUGGAGAUAACGAAGACAAUGAGGUUGAUGAGAGGACAUUGAGGGUGGGGAUGGAGAUAACGACGGUGAGGAUGAUGAUGGGGACAGUGGGGAUGGAGAUAAUGAAGAUGAUGAGGAUGGCGAUGGGGACAGUGAUGGGGAUGGAGAUAACGGAGACAAUGAUGAUGAGGACAGUGGGGAUGGAGAUAACAGAGACGGUGAGGAUGAUGAUGGGAACAGUGAUGGGGAUGGAGAUAACGGAGGUGAUGAGGACAAUGAUGGGUACAGCUGGGAUGGAGAUAACAAAGAUGAGGAUGGUGAUGGGGACAGUGGGGAUGGAGAUAACGAAGACAAUGAGGAUGAUGAUGGAGGAUGAUGAUGGAGACAGUAGGGAUGGAGAUAACAAAGACGAUGAGGAUGAUGAUGGGGACAUUGGGGGUGGGGAUGGAGAUAAUGAUGAUGAGGACGAUGAUGGGGACAGUGAUGGGGAUGGAGAUAACGAAGACAAUGAGGAUGAUGAUGAGGACAUUGGGGGUGGGGAUGGAGAUAACGACGGUGAGGAUGAUGAUGGGGACAGUGGGGACGGAGAUAACGAAGACGACGAGGACGAUGAUGGGGACAGCGGGGGUGGGGAUGGAGAUAACGACGAUGAGGACGAUGAUGGGGACAGUGGGGAUGGAGAUAAUGACGAUGAUGAGGAUGGUGAUGGGGACAGUGAUGGGGAUGGAGAUAACGAAGACGACGAGGACGAUGAUGGGGACAUUGGGGGUGGGGAUGGAGAUAACGAAGACGAGGAUGAUGAUGGGUACAGUGGGGAUGGAGAUAACGGAGAUGAUGAGGACGAUGAUGGGGACAACAGGGAUGGAGAUAAUGAAGGUGAUGAGGAUGAGGAUAGGGACAGCUGGGAUGGAGAUAACGAAGACGAGGAUGAUGAUGGAGGAUGAUGAUGGAGACAGUAGGGAUGGAGAUAAUGAAGACGACGAGGAUGAUGAUGGGGACAGUGGGGGUGGGGAUGGAGAUAAUGAUGAUGAGGAUGAUGAUGGGGACAGCUGGGAUGGAGAUAACAAAGACAAUGAAGAUGAUGAUGAGGACAGCUGGGAUUGAGAUAAUGAAGACGAUGAGGACGAUGAUGGGGACAGCAGGGAUGGAGAUAACAGAGACGAUGAGGAUGAUGAUGGGGACAGUGAUGGGGAUGGAGAUAACGAAGACAAUGAGGAUGAUGAUGUGGACAUUGGGGGUGGGGAUGGAGAUAACGACGGUGAGGAUGAUGAUGGGGACAUUGGGGAUGGAGAUAACGGAGAUGAGGACGAUGAAGGGGACAGUGGGGAUGGAGAUAAUGGAGAUGAUGAGGACAGUGAUGGGGACAGCGGGGGUGGGGAUGGAGAUAACGACGAUGAUGAUGAGGACAGUGGGGAUGAAGAUAACAGAGACGACAAGGAUGAUGAUGGGGACAGCGGGGAUGGAGAUAACGAAGACGACGAGGACGAUGGGACAGUGGGGGUGGGGAUGGAGAUGUGAAGGCAGCGCUGCGAGCCCUGGCCCCACAUGACCCCCCCCGCCCUCUCCCCCGUUUCCAUGCCCACAGAUCGAGGAGAUCGAGCGCGAGAUCAUCAAGCAGGAGGAGAACGUCGACCCCGACUACUGGGAGAAGCUGCUGCGGCACCACUACGAGCAGCAGCAGGAGGACCUGGCACGAAACCUGGGCAAGGGCAAGCGCGUCCGCAAGCAGGUCAACUACAACGACGCGGCCCAGGAGGACCAAGGUGGGCACUGGGAGGGACUGGGGGGCACCGGGAAGGGAAUGGGAGGGCACUGGGGGCCGCUGGGAGGGACUGGGGGGGAUUGGGAGGGACUGGGAAGGACUGGGAGGUACUGGGAAGGACUGGGAGGGCACUGGAGACCACUGGGAGGGAUUGGGAGGGGAUUGGGAGGGCACUGGGAGGC